rnacentral:rRNA from 1 species
UUAAAAGCUCGUAGUUGGAUUUCUGUUGAGGACGGCCGGUCCGCAUUAUGUGCGUGUAUCUGGUUCGGCCUUGGCAUCCUCCAGGGGAACGUUCCUGCGCUUCGCUGCGUGGGACGGUAUUCUGGACUUUUACUUUGAGGAAAUUAGAGUGUUCACGGCAGGCAGUCGCCUUGAAUAUAUUAGCAUGGAAUAAUAAUAUAGGACCUUGAUUCUAUUUUGUUGGUUUCUAGAAUUUAGGUAAUGAUUAAUAGGGACAAUUGGGGGCAUUUGUAUUAACACGUCAGAGGUGGAAUUCUUGGAUUGUGUUACGACAAACUACUGCGAAAGCAUUUGCCAAGGAUGUUUUCAUUGAUCAAGAACGAAAGUAAGGGGAUCGAAGACGAUUAGAUACCGUCGUAGUCUUUACCAUAAACUAUGCCAACUAGAGAUUGGAGGUCGUUCUUUUUAUGACUCCUUCAGCACCUUAUGAGAAAUCAAAGUCUUUGGGUUCCGGGGGGAGUAUGGUCGCAAGGCUGAAACUUAAAGGAAUUGACGGAAAGGCACCACCAGGAGUGGAGCCUGCGGCUUAAUUUUGACUC